GGAUUAGAUACCCUGGUAGUCCACGCCGUAAACUAUGAUUACUCGUUUUCAGCCCCUUGGGGUUGGAGACUAAGCGAAAGUGAUAAGUAAUCCACCUGGGGAGUACGAUCGCAAGGUUGAAACUCAAAGGAAUUGACGGGGGCCCGCACAAGCGGUGGAGCAUGUGGUUUAAUUCGAUGAUACGCGAGGAACCUUACCAGGGCUUAAAUGUAGAGGGAAUUAUGUGGAAACAUGUAAGUCUUCGGACCGUCUACAAGGUGCUGCAUGGCUGUCGUCAGCUCGUGCCG
rnacentral:rRNA from 1 species